rnacentral:rRNA from 1 species
GGAGGUACCGUCAACUUCCGGGGUAUUGGCCCGAAAGGAUUCUUCCCUCCUGACAGCGGUUUACGACCCGAGGGCCUUCAUCCCGCACGCGGCGUCGCUCGGUCAGGGUUUCCCCCAUUGCCGAAGCCUCUCG